CCUACGGGCGGCAGCAGUGAGGAAUAUUGGUCAAUGGGAGAGAUCCUGAACCAGCCAAGCCGCGUGAGGGAAGACGGCCCUAUGGGUUGUAAACCUCUUUUGCCGGAGAACAAAACCCGGGACGAGUCCCGGACUGCGUGUAUCCGAAGAAAAAGCAUCGGCUAACUCCGUGCCAGCAGCCGCGGUAAUACGGGGGAGGCGAGCGUUAUCCGGAUUGAUUGGGUUUAAAGGGUUGGUAGGCGGUCUGUUAAGUCAGCGGUAAAAUUGCGGGGCUAAAACCCGUCAAGCCGUUGAAACUGGCUAACUUGAGUGGGCGAGAAGUACGCGGAAUGCGGGGUGUAGCGGUGAAAUGCGUAGAUAUCGCGCAGAACUCCGAUUGCGAAGGCAGCGUACCGGCGCCAAACUGACGCUGAGGCACGAAAGCGUGGGGAUCGAACAGGAUUAGAUACCCUUGUAGUC
rnacentral:rRNA from 1 species